AUUGAACGCUGGCGGCAUGCCUUACACAUGCAAGUCGAACGGCAGCGGGGGAGAAGCUUGCUUUUCCUGCCGGCGAGUGGCGAACGGGUGAGUAAUACAUCGGAACGUGCCCUGUAGUGGGGGAUAACUAGUCGAAAGAUUAGCUAAUACCGCAUACGACCUGAGGGUGAAAGUGGGGGACCGCAAGGCCUCAUGCUAUAGGAGCGGCCGAUGUCUGAGUAGCUAGUUGGUGGGGUAAAGGCCUACCAAGGCGACGAUCAGUAGCUGGUCUGAGAGGACGAUCAGCCACACUGGGACUGAGACACGGCCCAGACUCCUACGGGAGGCAGCAGUGGGGAAUUUUGGACAAUGGGCGAAAGCCUGAUCCAGCAAUGCCGCGUGUGUGAAGAAGGCCUUCGGGUUGUAAAGCACUUUUGUCCGGAAAGAAAUGGCUCUGGUUAAUACCUGGGGUCGAUGACGGCACCGGAAGAAUAAGGACCGGCUAACUACGUGCCAGCCGCCGCGGUAA
rnacentral:rRNA from 1 species